rnacentral:rRNA from 1 species
AUUGAACGCUGGCGGCAGGCCUAACACAUGCAAGUCGAGCGGAAGAAGGGAGCUUGCUCCUGGAUUCAGCGGCGGACGGGUGAGUAAUGCCUAGGAAUCUGCCUGGUAGUGGGGGAUAACGUCCGGAAACGGGCGCUAAUACCGCAUACGUCCUGAGGGAGAAAGUGGGGGAUCUUCGGACCUCACGCUAUCAGAUGAGCCUAGGUCGGAUUAGCUAGUUGGUGGGGUAAAGGCCUACCAAGGCGACGAUCCGUAACUGGUCUGAGAGGAUGAUCAGUCACACUGGAACUGAGACACGGUCCAGACUCCUACGGGAGGCAGCAGUGGGGAAUAUUGGACAAUGGGCGAAAGCCUGAUCCAGCCAUGCCGCGUGUGUGAAGAAGGUCUUCGGAUUGUAAAGCACUUUAAGUUGGGAGGAAGGGCAGUAAGUUAAUACCUUGCUGUUUUGACGUUACCAACAGAAUAAGCACCGGCUAACUUCGUG